AGCAACACAAAUACUCAAAAUGCUGUAUGCUAAAACUGGAAUGAUACAGAGAUUAGCAUGGCCCCUGCAAAUGGAUAACACAAAAAUUCGGGAAGCUUUCUAUACUUUU